rnacentral:rRNA from 1 species
AUUGAACGCUGGCGGCAUGCCUUACACAUGCAAGUCGAACGGCAGCACGGGUGCUUGCACCUGGUGGCGAGUGGCGAACGGGUGAGUAAUAUAUCGGAACGUACCUUCUUGUGGGGGAUAACGCAGCGAAAGCUGUGCUAAUCCCGCAUAAUCCCUAAGGGGGAAAGCGGGGGACCGUAAGGCCUCGCGCAAUUAGAGCGGCCGAUACCUGAUUGGCCAGUUGGUGAGGUAAAGGCUCACCAAGGCAACGAUCAGUAGCUGGUCUGAGAGGACGAUCAGCCACACUGGGACUGAGACACGGCCCAGACUCCUACGGGAGGCAGCAGUGGGGAAUUUUGGACAAUGGGGGCAACCCUGAUCCAGCAAUGCCGCGUGAGUGAAGAAGGCCUUCGGGUUGUAAAGCUCUUUUGUCAGGGAAGAAACAGCAGCUCUAACACAGUAUGCGAAUGACGGUACCUGAAGAAUAAGCACCGGCUAACUACGUGCCAGCCGCCGCCGUAA